rnacentral:rRNA from 1 species
AACGAACGCUGGCGGCAUGCCUAACACAUGCAAGUCGAACGAGACCUUCGGGUCUAGUGGCGCACGGGUGCGUAACGCGUGGGAACCUGCCCUUAGGUUCGGAAUAACUCCCCGAAAGGGGUGCUAAUACCGGAUAAUGUCUUCGGACCAAAGAUUUAUUGCCUUUGGAGGGGCCCGCGUUGGAUUAGCUAGUUGGUAGGGUAAAAGCCUACUAAGGCGACGAUCCAUAGCUGGUUUGAGAGGAUGAUAAGCCACACUGGGACUGAGACACGGCCCAGACUCCUACGGGAGGCAGCAGUGGGGAAUAUUGGACAAGGGGCGAAAGCCUGAUCCAGCAAUGCCGCGUGAGUGAUGAAGGCCUUGGGGUUGUAAAGCUCUUUUACCCGGGAUGAUAAUGACAGUACCGGGAGAAUAAGCUCCGGCUAACUCCGUG